UACGUAGGGUGCAAGCGUUGUCCGGAAUUAUUGGGCGUAAAGAGCUCGUAGGUGGCCUGUCGCGUCGGCUGUGAAAACUCGGGGCUCAACUCCGAGCUUGCAGUCGAUACGGGCAGGCUAGAGUUCGGCAGGGGAGACUGGAAUUCCUGGUGUAGCGGUGAAAUGCGCAGAUAUCAGGAAGAACACCCGUGGCUAAGGCGGCUCUCUAGUACGUGACUGACGCUGAGACGCGAAAGCGUGGGGAGCGAACAGG
rnacentral:rRNA from 1 species